rnacentral:sRNA from 1 species
AGAGACACCCCUGGGGGCCGGUACGGCAUCGGGAGUGGGGCCCUCCCACUCCAAGGCACAGGGAGGGAGGGGAAGUGGCAGUGGGGGAGAGGUGGGGCUUUGGGGCAAGUCUGAGGGAGAGCGGCUGCCUUCUCUAGAGAGUGGGGUAAGGGUGCAGGUUCCUGUCUCUGUCCCUGCCCUGUGUGUUGUGGGGUGGCCUCUUCAAGUGCCUGUCUGCCCCUGUGCCAGCCUGCCCUGGAUGCCAUGCGGGGAAGCAUCUCACGGUGGAACAGGGGCUACAUCGUGAGGGUGGAGCAGGUUGUGUUUUGAAUAGAGACAAAAGCCUGGGCUCUGGCUGCCAUCUGCUGCCUUUGGCACUUCUGUGGCCACGGGCAGGACCUGGAGGGGCCCCACCUUCCUCUCUCACAGCAGCGAUGGGGAUACAGACAGCGUCAGCACCAUGGUGGUCCACGACGUCGAGGAGAUCACCGGGACCCAGCCCCCAUACGGGGGCGGCACCAUGGUGGUCCAGCGCGUGAGUGAGCCUCUGCUCCCUCCCCUGUACCUGUGUGUGCCCUCCUCAGCCCCACGCCAACCCUACUCUCUGUCCUGUAGACCCCUGAAGAGGAGCGGAACCUGCUGCAUGCUGACAGCAAUG